GGACAAUCACCUCCUGGAAGAAACAAUCUCACUUCCUUUCUCAUCUGGAUUCUGGUUUUGGGGACAUCUGGUCCCCAUGAGCCUCCUGUUCUGGGAGUCUCAUUCGUUUUGAGGUUUGUAGUAAUGUCAUUGAGAAACCUGAGGAUGUGACAAGUCACUGAAUGUCAACAUGCCAAAGGACAUUGUGCAUUGCGCUGAGCAGCCAGAUAAAAGCUUUAUCUCGCCUGUUUCCCUGCCCUGUGUCUGCUUUGACCAGACUCCUUCCCCUGCUGUCUUUUGGUGUCAUCAGUGACAUUAUGCUUCUGUGAACCUUUCAAGGAAAGAAAUCCUUUGGAACAUCUGUGUGUCAGGCAUGGCUCUACACUUGAAAAUAUAAUAAGCACUUUGAAUUAUAUUAUUCUACUACUUUUAACUACAAUUUUUGAUCUACCUGUCUAUCUAUCUAUCUAUCUAUCUAUCUAUCUAUCUAUCUUUGGCUAGGGCUGAACAACUUUAAUUUUGUUCCUUUGACUCUGAGAUUUCCAGGCCCCAUGACCUCAAAUAGAAGAUUAGGCAGGAAUAAGAAAAAUUGAGGUCCUAAGUGAUCCUGCCUUGUCUCUGCCUGCACCAAGCCUGUCCUUUCUAAGGUUGUAGAACACGUUGUCAGCCUUCAGCAGGGACCAUGGCUGUGCCAGCAUCCAAGUUGCAUGUGAUUUUUGGUGAGGGAAGUCAAAGAGCAACAGUUCUGCUUCUGCGUGUGUGCCUAGGCCCUUCUGGGCAUCUGUGCUGUACAGGUUGAAGAUAAAGCCCACGGUUCCAAAGACAGUCUAGCCUGCAUUGCGUCCUUUCUCAUUGGCUGCCACUUGUUUCUGCUUCAUCCAAUGGUAAACUGAUUUUCUAUGCCCCACCCACUCACAGGUGGGUGGAGACAGUACAGUGUAGUGCAGGUGUUUACAGCCUAGAGGGAGAGAGGAAGGGACAGAGUUCGGGUAAGAUUUUUGGAGUUGCCAAUAGUGACUGAGAACACAAGACUCCCCAUCACAGCGUGACUUGGAAACAUAGGCACCUCAAAGACAACUGCAUUUGGUCUUUGUGACAUCUUGUCUCUAUAUUUAUGUUUUUGCCUCUGCCACCAUUUCUUCUUUCUCAAUCCUCAUGUGCAAACACACAAGCGUGUGCAUAAACACAGGCACACAUUUCCCUUGUAAGACCAAGAACUAGUCACUCAGGACUGUCAUAUCAAGUUUACACAAAAUGUGACUGUAUAAGACACACAGGCGAUCAGAAGGAUGACAUUAACAAGAGAAGUAUGCCUUCAGAGUCCUGGACCCUGUUGCUAUUCUUUGCUGACCUCAUCAGCCCCAGUAACGGUUUGUAUUUAUAUACCCUGGGCCACUUUUUUAAACCAAACCCACAGUGGUUGGUUCCAUGUAAGAUAACAACCAUUUAUUUAUUAAUAUCAAAUGCUGUCUGAUUCCUACACACCACUCAUACCACUGAGCUAAAGAGUGGAGGAAUUCCCUCCUAAUUGAUUAAAUAAUAAAGACGACAAGAAGCCAAUCACUGGGUGAGAAGGAGGCAGGCCUUCUGGGUCUGAGAGAGGAAGAGGGAAGUCAGGAGGAGGGCUUCCUUUUGGAUGGUGGGAUCAAGGCAGACAAGAUAUAGGUUGGGGGCUGUUAGUUCGAAUGGCAGAAUCUACCAGAAUCCUCCACUGGAAGAUUUCUAACAUAGAAUAGUUGGCAUAUUUAGGAUGCUAGAUUUCGCACCCAGUUAUAUCUGUUGAUUCUAAACGAAGAUUGUCUGGCGUUUUGCAUUUUGCUGUGACUCAAUUGAGCUCCAGGGAAAGGUAACUGCAGCGGAGCGUUGGGUUGGUGAGAGUGCACCCCCAACUAGCUGCGCCCGCAACUAGCUGCAGACAUUUGUGAGUAGUGAGCUGGUUUGGCAGCAGCCAGCGGCAGGGAGGAGAGGGAGAUUUCGGAGCCCUGGAGAGGCAGAGCCAGCGUUGGUAGGAGAGGACUAGAGGAAGCAUGCGGUCUCAGUACCGAGCUGGGAACAGACUGAGACCACCGGCCAGUGCCUCGCCAGCGAUAGCGUGGCAAGCAUGGAUUAUUACAAGCAACUCUGAAGGGCUAAAUGGCCAGUUGUGCAGUCAGGUUCUUGCCAAUGCAUUUGUCUGCAGUCACAGCAUCCAUUUCUGUAAUGAGUGAUGCAGAACGUUAAGUCUUCACUGCUGAAGACACCAUUCACUUCAGACACAGAUGUCUGGAACUCUCUAAGCUGGGAGCGACCUCUACAGAUUUGUCCACAGACCCAUAGAUAAGCGUACUACUUUUCCUGCACCAAGGGAAUUUGCCCUUUGCAACAGAUGGAGAUCAUUACAGAAAACCCCCACUCAUGGAUAGUGACGUCAUGAAUCUUAAAGGAGAACCUACAACUUUUUCUUGUCUAUUUUGUGCUACCCAUUUACUUUAGGGUAUGGGCCCAUCCACUACAGCAGUGGUUCUCAACCUUCCUAAUGCUGAGACCGUUUAAUAUAGUUCCUCAUGUGGUGACCUCCAACCAUGAAAUUAUUUUUGUUGCUACUUCAUAACUGCUAUUUUGCUACUGUUGUGAAUUGAAACGUAAAUAUCUGAUAUGCAGAUGGUUUUAGACAUCCCAUGUGAAAGGGUUAUUUGAUACCCCCACAAAGAAUCACAAGCCAUAGGUUGAGAACCACUGCUCUACAACACGGUCGACCUAUCAGGGGCCAAACUCUUAAAGAACACUGACUUGUCAUCCUUCAAAAGCCUUCAACUGUCAAUGGCUUCUUGGUGAGAAUGAAGAAUGUGGGAAAAGGAAGCAAAGCCAAACAACAGCAAACCCCAAGUAGCAUGAGGAACAAAAGCCAGCUAGAGAAGGAAGGGUGAAAUGCAGGCAUUGGAGCAGCCAGGGGAAGUAGGCUGGGGUGCUGUGUUGAGUUCAUUCGUCACUGAUCUGAUGAAAUACCAGACGAAGUAUCUUAAAGAGGAGACUGUUUCUAGGUCAAAUUAGCACAUGCAGGCUGAGAUCUGUGCUGGGAUGUUUUAAGUUCCAGUGGAAAUGUCAUCAGGCAAAGCAGCGGAAAACCAAGAUGCAGCUCUGUGACGAUUCCACGGUAUCCAGACCAGCUGGAUUGUGAAAUUCCAAACCCUAAAGUCCUUCUUGGGAAGUCAGAACGGUUAUUGUGGAGUAAGAGAGGCAGUCUUAACUCCACAAAGAGCAUAAACCCCAACUUCUCCCUGCAGUAUUAAAAGGGAUGACACAAUCCAGAGUGUGUUGGUCUCUCUAACACCAAUCAGCAAUGAAGAAAAUCCUCCAUGGACGUGCCACAAUCCAGUCUAAUUCCUCGGAGAAAGACCUUCUGCUAGAACUAACUUUUUACUGGCAUUCUGAGAAAGGCCCAGUUCUCAGAAGAAACUUUUCACAAAGGGGACCCUGAGAUUCUAUAAUCAGUUAUUCAAGGUCAGUUUAAGAACCAAGUCAUCUUUCCUUUCAACCACCACCACCACAACAUCCACACAGAGGAAUUCUCUGCCUUCAGGGAGCUGGGGCCAUGUGAGUCACAGUCUCUAGAGAUUCAACUUUUGAGGAAAACUGGUGCAGACUACAUGGAAAGGUGAAUGGCUGAAAAGGAGACAGAGGCAACAGGUUGGAAAAAGGAAGCUUGCACAGGCUUCCAGGUGGCUCUGGGACGCCAGAAGAGAGCAGGAGAGUCAUUAUGUGCACAUUUCAAUAGUUGCUAGACAGUCACUUCCACACCAGUGCCUCCAAAUGGAUCCCUUACCCUGGAGUAAAGAUUCUUGCAAGCAGCAGAGGUGACACAGUCUGAAAAGGCAAGCAGACAGCAAAGACGCUCACCCAUAGUAUUACAAGAGUCAAAUCAAGGGCUCAUUCGUACACACCCACAGAGACAGAAGGCCUUGAGAAUAUGAAGUGGGUGAUGCCCUCAGACUCAGCUGGCCCUUUAGGAUUUAGACCCUGGGUGAAAGACAAGGGGAGAUGGUACACUAUGCUGUCAGAACUCCAAGUAGAAAUUUUCAACAGACUAGUGAUAAACUGAUAUUAUUUUGUGUACCAUUGAUAAGUGGUUAUUAGCCCAAAUGCUUGAAUUACCCUAGAUGCACAGAACACAUGAAACUCAAGAAGGAUGACCAAAAUGCAAAUGCUUCACUCCUUCUUUAAAAGGGGAACAAGAAUACACUUGGGAGGGAAUAGGGAGGCAAAGUUUAGAACAGAGGCAGAAGGAACACCCAUUCAGAGCCUGCCCCACAUGUGGCCCAUACAUAUACAGCCACCAAACUAGAUAAGAUGGAUGAAGCAAAGAAGUGCAGGCAGACAGGAACCGGAUGUAGAUCUCUCCUGAGAGACACAGACAGAAUACAGCAAAUACAUAGGCGAAUGCCAGCAGCAAACCACUGAACUGAGAACAGGACCCCUGUUGAAGGAAUCAGAGAAAGGACUGGAAGAGCUUGAAGGGGCUCGAGACCCCAUAUGAACAACAAUGCCAAGCAACCAGAGCUUCCAGGGACUAAGCCACUACCCAAAGACUAUAUACAUGGACUGACCCUGGGCUCCAACCUCAUAGGUAGCAAUGAAUAGCCUAGUAAGAGCGCCAGUGGAAGGGGAAGCCCUUGGUCCUGCCAAGACUGAACCCCCAGUGAA